AAACGGCCAAGAUCUUCGGAAAUCAGCAGCAAUUUUCUGUUCGUCAACUUCCUUAUGCAAAGCCACUAGCAAUCAAUAUAAGUGAAGUUUCAAACGCCUUCCACGUUCGACUUUCCGCCCAAACACUCGACACACUCCACACUCUUCAUGUCGACCGCCGAGACGUUGGGUCAGGAUCCAAACCCGAACCCGAACUCGAACUCUCCCAAACGAGGCCCGAACAGACCCGACGAAACCCUAGCCUCCGCCCUACCACCCGAUCCGCUUCUCGAAUUCGAUAAAUUCAUCAACACCACCGCCUCCGGAGGUUGCGGGACGCCUGAGCGGUUACGACGCGUGCGCCGAUCUUCUGACGGUGCGUCUGCUUCCUUGGCCUCGGAGAACUCGAGCGGCGCGGAGCCGGUAACGACUACGCCGGCUCGGGAGAACGCGGCGUCUACGGCCGGAUCUCAGCCGCGUAUGUCACUGGAUUGGUUGCCUCCAGGUUGGCUUUUCGAAGAAAGAGUUCGGACCUCCGGUGCCACAGCUGGAUCGGUUGACAGGUAUUAUUUCGAUCCAGUUUCAGGCCGUCGAUUCCGGUCAAAGAAUGAGGUUUUUUACUUUUUAGAAACAGGAACUAAACGUAAAAAGGGGAAACUAACGGAGAACUCUGAUGCUGAAACAGUGGGCUCUGGGGGACAGAAACAAAAGAAGUCUGCCACGAAGGCAAAGAGUUCUGCUUUGAAAUUUGAUUUUCUUAAUGUGCCUGAGAAGGUCAUCUGGGUUCUCACAGAUUCCUCCCAGGGUGCCUGGGCGCCUUUUAUUGGUGAUGAAAAGGUGUCUAAAUCUAUUGUGCAAGAAUGGGCUGCUGCGUUCACAGCCCUCACCUCCAGACUUGAUUCCCAGAGGAAGUUUUGAAGGGCAUUUUCCAAACUCUCCAUUGUAUCAUCAAGAGUAUGAUCCCAUACUGACUAAUACAGAUAUGUGUUUCAACCCUGGAGUAGUGCUCGGCAAUUUUACCGAUGCUUGAAGUGUGUUGCAUGCUUUUACAAAGAAGUCAAGAUCACAACUAAAGCAUGGAUUCAAGUUUUGCAUAGACCAUUGAUCUUCACGCUUUGAUAUGAGGUUUAUGUGUUUUCCUGUUAUGUGUUUCAUUGAUCUGUGGCUGAUUGGAUUCUGCUGAUUUAGGAACUAAAUUAAAUUGGUUGAGUGGGGCUUGGCUGACUUCUUUCUUCAACUGGUGUUCAUCCUUUAGAGUGAGAGAAACUUGGAUGAAACUGCUAUGAUGCUUCCACAGAUCUCAUUUCCUUAGUAUUUUUUUUUUUAAUAAGAACUAAUUUAAGGAUUGGUUGGGACUGCCAUAUCCACAUUAUGAAAAAGUGGUAGGAUAAAAAUGUAGUAUAUCAUUACUCUUCCUAAAUAUUACAAGCAUAAAUCAUGAUCAAUCACUCAUUGUUUUC